GGAUACAUUCUGAGAAAUGCACUGUUAGACAGUUUUGUCAUUGUGUGAGCACCACAGAGUGUACAGCACUUACACAAACCAAAACAGUAUAGACUACUACACACCUAGGUUGUACAGUAGAACCUACUGCCCCUAGGAUACAAACCUGUGCAGCAUGUUCUUGCACUGAAUAUUAAAAGCAACUAACACAAGUCAUCAGGUAAUAGAAAUUUUUUAGCUCCAUUUUAAUCUAGGGGAUCACUGUCAUAUAUGUGGUCCAUUAUUG
rnacentral:lncRNA from 10 species